rnacentral:rRNA from 1 species
GUGGGGAAUUUUGCGCAAUGGGGGGAACCCUGACGCAGCAACGCCGCGUGCGGGACGAAGGCCUUCGGGUUGUAAACCGCUUUCAGCAGGGAAGAUUCAGACGGUACCUGCAGAAGAAGCUCCGGCUAACUACGUGCCAGCAGCCGCGGUAAUACGUAGGGGGCGAGCGUUAUCCGGAUUCAUUGGGCGUAAAGCGCGCGUAGGCGGCCGCCUAAGCGGAACCUCUAAUCCCGGGGCUCAACCUCGGGCCGGGUUCCGGACUGGGCGGCUCGAGUGCGGUAGAGGCAGGCGGAAUUCCCGGUGUAGCGGUGGAAUGCGCAGAUAUCGGGAAGAACACCGAUGGCGAAGGCAGCCUGCUGGGCCGCCACUGACGCUGAGGCGCGAAAGCUGGGGGAGCGAACAGG